rnacentral:lncRNA from 1 species
AGGGUCAUUACAUUGUUUAUUAACUUCAAAAUCAGUAUGAGAGAUAAACUUACGGAAUAUGUUUAGCAUCAAAACUAUGAAAAUUUUUCUUUACAAAACCUUGCAAUCUGAGUAACUCAAGGCUAAAAUAAUUCACCUAAAAUUCUAUAAACACAUAAAAACUUAUGUUUGACAUCUAAAGAUAUUCUUUUUAAGUGUACCAAGUAGCCUAAUAAAAAACAAUAACAGGUACUAUUUGUAUCACACUUAAAACAUCUUUUCCAUGUGAUUUUCAGAGUGAGAUGAUGCCUUUUGAUAUACUAUGUAUAUCAUUUAAGAAUAAAGGACAUAAUUCAUUUUUAACAUAUACAUUCAAGGCAGCUAAAAUUUUAAAAAUAGCACUAAAGAAUCAGUUACAAUUGAGGAAAACUCAUUUUUAUUGAGCAUGGGGAAAACAAAUGACAAUUACACUGAAUAAUGUUAGUAUACCAGCAACCUAGUCUUCCCAAUCAUUCCUCAGACAAACCAAGAAGACAGGGACCCUUUCCAGUCUUCCUCUGAAAGUAUUCUUCCAGUUUUCCCUCUCCCCUACCCUUUAGAUCCUUGAGGAUCACUCAGAAAAUAUAAGUUAAUCAACCAUACAAAAAUAUGUCUCUGAUAAACAAGAGACUAAGAAAAACAGAAAUAAUGUAACAAUUAUGAUGUGCAGUAAUCUUUAAGGUGAGAAAUUAGUGAAAAGUUGUAAUGAUGUAUAAUAAAUAAAAUACAUCCUCCACUUUACCAAGAGUAAGAUGGAGAAAACUAGUAGUGUUAAUUACUAUAUUAUAUCACAUCUAUUUCCCCAUGCUCUACUUCUCAGACAC